CUUACCUUCUUCCUGGAAUGAGGUGUCCUGGUCUCUCAGGCACGUCCCUAACACUUGCACCAGCCGUUUCUCCAAGGAUCUCUGGUUCCUUUUAAUGGGAAAAAUAGCAUGCGUACCAAGAUCUGAGCGCUAGGGUGCCCUGAGACCAUCUCCAUGAACAAAGCUGGAAAAGGGCAUGCCUCCUCAGGGCAGAGACCUGAAGUCCUCUUUUCCUGUAGGAAGCCAGGCACAGUGAUGAGUUACCGAGUUGGUGUUCAGUUGCUGGCAGGUAAGCGCCACAAUUCCUUUUUGCAGUGACGUUCUUGUAAAUGACAGUCUUGCUUUUAUUUAUUUUUUUAAGAAAGAUUUUAUUUAUUUAUUUGACAGAGAGAGAGACAGCCAGUGAGAGAGGGAACACAAGCAGGGGGAGUGGGAGAGGAAGCAGGCUCCCAGUGGAGCAGGGAGCCCGAUGCGGGGCUCGAUCCCAGGACCCUGGGAUGGUGACCUGAGCCCAAGGCAGAUGCUUAACGACUGAGCCACCCAGGCGCCCCCAGUCUAGCUUUUAAAUUCCUCAUCUGUGGUCAAUUCCUAGUGUGUUCUCCACAGCAAUUUGGAAUAGUCCAGUAAAGAGUCCAGAGCAAUGCAAAUCCAGGGAGUGACAGGGGUGGAUUUCAACAGUGCGGCUCACAUUUUAGCGUGUUUGUGAAUCACAUGGGGAUUUUGUGAAAGUGCAGAUGCUGACUGGAGCCUGAGGUUCUGCAUUUCUAGUGAGCUCCCAGGUGAUGCCAGUGCUGCUGGUCCAGGGACCACACUUUGAGUGGUGAGGGACUCUAAGGGGUGAAUCAGGUAUGCACACAGUUGAGAUCACCCAAAGUCCUAUUUUUGCAUCCUUCCCCUUUUCCCGUGCCAUCUGGGGAUGAUGAAGCCAAGCUCCAUCCUUGAGGUGUUAUCCUCAUUUUAGGUGGGAUCAUAAACAGAGGCUGCCA